rnacentral:ncRNA from 1 species
AAAUAUUUACCGCCGGGUAACGUCUUGCCCAUUCCGUUAGGCCACAGAAGGAAUGGAGGCAGAGGCGUUUAUUUU